rfam:Triticum urartu cultivar G1812 contig766150, whole genome shotgun sequence.
CUCUUACUCCCUCCGUCCGGAAAUACUUGUCAUCAAAAUGAAUAAAAGGGGAUGUAUCUAGAUGUAUUUUAGUUUUAUAUACAUCCCUUUUUGUCCAUUUUGAUGACAAGUAUUUUUGGACGGAGGGAGUACCAU